UAGGGAAUCUUCCGCAAUGGACGCAAGUCUGACGGAGCAACGCCGCGUGAGCGAUGAAGGUCUUCGGAUCGUAAAGCUCUGUUGUCAGGGAAGAACACGUGUGAGAGUAACUGCUCACACCUUGACGGUACCUGACCAGAAAGCCACGGCUAACUACGUGCCAGCAGCCGCGGUAAUACGUAGGUGGCAAGCGUUGUCCGGAAUUAUUGGGCGUAAAGGGCUCGCAGGCGGUCCCUUAAGUCUGAUGUGAAAUCUUGCGGCUUAACCGCAAGCGGUCAUUGGAAACUGGGGGACUUGAGUACAGAAGAGGAGAGUGGAAUUCCACGUGUAGCGGAGAAAUGCGUAGAGAUGUGGAGGAACACCAGUGGCGAAGGCGGCUCUCUGGUCUGUAACUGACGCUGAGGAGCGAAAGCGUGGGGAGCAAACAGG
rnacentral:rRNA from 1 species